rnacentral:rRNA from 1 species
AGCUAGUUGGUGGGGUAAGAGCUCACCAAGGCGACGAUCUGUAGCGGGUCUGAGAGGAUGAUCCGCCACACUGGAACUGAGACACGGUCCAGACUCCUACGGGAGGCAGCAGUGGGGAAUUUUGGACAAUGGGGGCAACCCUGAUCCAGCCAUGCCGCGUGAGGGAAGAAGGCCUUCGGGUUGUAAAGCUCUUUCGGCCGGGAAGAAAUCGUAUCAGCGAAUACCUGGUGCGGAUGACGGUACCGGCAUAAGAAGCACCGGCUAACUACGUGCCGGCAGCCGCGGUAAUACGUAGGGUGCGAGCGUUAAUCGGAAUUACUGGGCGUAAAGCGUGCGCAGGCGGUUUUGUAAGACAGGCGUGAAAUCCCCGGGCUCAACCUGGGAACUGCGUUUGUGACUGCAAGGCUAGAGUACGGCAGAGGGGGGUGGAAUUCCACGUGUAGCAGUGAAAUGCGUAGAGAUGUGGAGGAACACCAAUGGCGAAGGCAGCCCCCUGGGUCGAUACUGACGCUCAUGCACGAAAGCGUGGGUAGCAAACAGGAUUAGAUACCCUGGUAGUCCACGCCCUAAACGAUGUCAACUAGGUGUUGGGAGGGUAAAACCUUUUAGUACCGGAGCUAACGCGUGAAGUUGACCGCCUGGGGAGUACGGCCGCAAGGUUAAAACUCAAAGGAAUUGACGGGGACCCGCACAAGCGGUGGAUGAUGUGGAUUAAUUCGAUGCAACGCGAAAAACCUUACCUACCCUUGACAUGUCAGGAACUUUCCAGAGAUGGAUUGGUGCUCGAAAGAGAACCUGAACACAGGUGCUGCAUGGCUGUCGUCAGCUCGUGUCGUGAGAUGUUGGGUUAAGUCCCGCAACGAGCGCAACCCUUGUCGUUAAUUGCCAUCAUUUAGUUGGGCACUUUAACGAGACUGCCGGUGACAAACCGGAGGAAGGUGGGGAUGACGUCAAGUCCUCAUGGCCCUUAUGGGUAGGGCUUCACACGUCAUGCAAUGGUCGGUACAAAGGGUCGCCAAGCCGCGAGGUGGAGCUAAUCCCAGAAAGCCGAUCGUAGUCCGGAUUGCAGGCUGCAACUCGCCUGCAUGAAGUCGGAAUCGCUAGUAAUCGUGGAUCAGCAUGUCACGGUGAAUACGUUCCCGGGUCUUGUACACACCGCCCGUCACACCAUGGGAGCGGGUUCCGCCAGAAGUAGGUAGCCUAACCGCAAGGAGGGCGCUUACCACGGCGGGGUUCGUGACUGGGGUGAAGUCGAAACAAGGUAGCCGUAGGGGAACCUGCGGCUG